GGAAGUAAAAGUCGUAACAAGGUUUCCGUAGGUGAACCUGCGGAAGGAUCAUUACUGAUUUAGCGAACCGAGCGUUAGCGAGGUUUUGCGAUCAACUUGUAUUUAAAACCCACUCUUCAAUGUAUAAAAUUUGUAUUAAUGAUAAAUUAAAGGAUCACUUUCAACAACGGAUCUCUUGGCUCUCGCAUCGAUGAAGAACGUAGCGAAGUGCGAUAAGUAAUGUGAAUUGCAGUAUUCCGUGAAUCAUCGAACCUUUGAACGCAUAUUGCACUUUCUGGUAUUCCGGAAAGUAUGCCUGUUUGAGGGUCAGUUAAAUAAAAAUCGGUGUUGUUGCCGCUUUCCGUGGUGACGCGUCGGAAUUGAGUCGUCUUCGGUUAAGUGACUUAAAAUUUUAUAUGAUUUUCGAACGUAUUUAAAUUUAUUUGAACGUUUGAUAUCUAAUGCUUAUUAGGUUCGGUCAUCCUCAUGACUCGCGCCUAUAAUUUUUCAUUAAAUGACCUCAAAUCAGGUAAGAAUACCCGCUGAACUUAAGCAUAUCAAUAAGCGGAGGA
rnacentral:rRNA from 1 species